rnacentral:rRNA from 2 species
GUGGGGAAUAUUGCACAAUGGGGGAAACCCUGAUGCAGCGACGCCGCGUGAACGAAGAAGGUAUUCGUAUCGUAAAGUUCUGUCCUAUGGGAAGAUAAUGACAGUACCAUAGAAGAAAGCUCCGGCUAAAUACGUGCCAGCAGCCGCGGUAAUACGUAUGGAGCGAGCGUUGUCCGGAAUUAUUGGGCGUAAAGGGUACGCAGGCGGUUUAAUAAGUCGAAUGUUAAAGAUCGGGGCUCAACCCCGUAAAGCAUUGGAAACUGAUAAACUUGAGUAGUGGAGAGGAAAGUGGAAUUCCUAGUGUAGUGGUGAAAUACGUAGAUAUUAGGAGGAAUACCAGUAGCGAAGGCGACUUUCUGGACACAAACUGACGCUGAGGUACGAAAGCGUGGGGAGCAAACAGGAUUAGAAACCCUAGUAGUCC